UUUCCCAUUUCCAAUGGACCAUGUUCCAUGAUCUACAUUACCCAAGGAUUACAGAAACAUAAACCCCUUAAUAACAAUUGAAGAGAAUGUUACUUGUAGACAAAGAAAGCAAGUAAAUAACCUAGACAUUUACAUGGCCAAAUAUAUCAAGUACAAAAAUGCAAAUACCUGUCAAAAUUG